AUGAGGACCACUCCUGUAAAAAAAAGAUUACAUGGCGGUAGUACAAGUGGUCAAAGAAGAAGCGGAAGCGCCUACACUACAAAUACACGGUGGAAGAGGCUACCCCGAGGCUGCGACAUCCUUGCGAAACGCAAACGCCACACGACACCACCACCUUCUUCUCGCUCGCCGCGCACCCACACACCCCAGCGCUACUCAACCAUGUCGGUCUCCACGGGAAAAUUCCCGGCGGCGGGCGGAGAAGUCGGCAGCGACGCGGCGGUCGGAGGGUCGCCGUGCGGCCGUCCAACAAGAUUCGCGGGCGCCGGCGAGGAGGCGCGCGCCAGGCGGGAGGCGGAGAAGGCGGAGCUGGAGAGGAAGAUCGCGAGCACCAAGGAAGAGAUCGCCGCCCUGGAGACGGCGCUCGUCGAGGUGGACGCCGCCGCCGGCCCCGAGCCCGCCAAGCCGUAG
rnacentral:rRNA from 1 species